GAAUCGCAUCUUUCACUGUCCGAGUUCACCCCGCUUGUGUGAGCUUCCUUCCACAAGCGCGUCAUCCCCAUGCCAUCUAAUCUACACACGCCUAUAAAGAAACCUUUUUUAGACGAAGCCCUAGUCUGAGUCUCACACGGUUCCACCCACCGCCUCCCCAAUCAUCCCCCCGAUUUCCUCCUCGUGUGCCCAAUCUGCAGCUGCUGCCGCUGCUCCUUCCACAGCUUCGGUGGGACUCGUCGGAUUGGGCUCCUUUUUCCAUUUCAGGCAAUUAGACUCGCAGAGAUGGACACUACUGCUGGCUAAUAGUAAAACGAUUAUAUGGCCAAAGAUAUUAAGGCAAUGCGCAAGGGAGGAAACGGUUUCUACUUUAUCAAUAAGGAGACAAGUGCUGAUUCAAUCAGGGAAAACAAUUCCAAAAAUUCUCAUCGGAUGGCUGAUACAGCAAGAAUAACUAAAACAGAGACAUCAAAGUUGAAGAACAUCAUUUCAGCAUCAUUCAAACCCUUGUCUCUUACCAUUCCCAUAGGAGACGGAUUCCAUGAAUCGUUCCAUUCGAGCCAUUGCUAUUUAUAGUAUCUACUAAGGUUCAUAAAUAAGCCAAAGGUUUUCAGUACUAUUGGCUAAGAAGGGGAGGCAAACAUUGAGCUGCUUGCUGCCACAUUUUGCAAUGGUUACAAUCGUUGGUACACGGGAACAGUUUGUUCAACCACAGACAUUCCUGCGUGCUACAAUGCAGCUCAAGUCCCCAACAAGGCCAAAACUUUCCUUCUGCUUUACGCCACAAGGGGAUUGUGAUCAAUACUGUGCUUUAAUCCCUGGCUUGCCAGAAGACCUGGCAAAGAUAUGUCUUGCCCUUGUUCCUCGAACUCAUUUCCCUGUCAUGGGUGGAGUUUCCAAGAGGUGGAUGUCAUUCCUAGAGAGCAAAGAAUUAAUUGCUGUAAGGAAAGAGGUUCAGAA